GCACUAAAUGAAACUAGAUACAAGCGAGCGGCGGACGAGGUGAGUAACACGUGGGUAGCCUGCCCAAGAGACUGGGAUAACACCUGGAAACAUGAUGCUAAUACCGGAUAACAGACACUAGACGCAUGUCUAGAGUUUGAAAGAUGGUUCUGCUAUCACUCUUGGAUGGACCUGCGGUGCAUUAGCUAGUUAGGUAAGGUAACGGCUUACGCGAUAGGCACAUGAUGCAUAGCCGAGUUGAGAGACUGAUCGAGCCACAUCGGGACAUGAGACACGGCCCAACACGUCCUACGGGAGGCAGACAGUAAAGGAAUCUUCCACAAUGGACGACAAGUGCUGAUGGAGCAACGCCGCGUG
rnacentral:rRNA from 1 species